rnacentral:rRNA from 1 species
UACGGAGGAUGCGAGCGUUAUCCGGAUUUAUUGGGUUUAAAGGGUGCGUAGGCGGGCUUUUAAGUCAGCGGUAAAAAUUCGGGGCUCAACCCCGUCCGGCCGUUGAAACUGGGGGUCUUGAGUGGGCGAGAAGAAGGCGGAAUGCGUGGUGUAGCGGUGAAAUGCAUAGAUAUCACGCAGAACCCCGAUAGCGAAGGCAGCCUUCCGGCGCCCUACUGACGCUGAGGCACGAAAGUGCGGGGAUCGAACAGG